UGGGAAAUAGUUUUGUAUAGCAGAAAGGGAACAUAGCAAUAAAGGAAAAAGAUGCUCAAGAACAAAAUUGAUCUAAGAAAUUAUCAAUCUCUGCUAUCUUAUGAAAUGUUUUACCAAUAUUUACCAUAGCCUUUUAUUCUCCCUGAACUAUGAGUUGUCCUGUGCAACCGUUGGAGUUUUUCGGCUAGAAUCACGGUUUCAAAGUCCGGCAAGGAAUUAAUUUCAAAAGGCAUCACGAUGCUAUAAAACCUCCAUUAAGCUAUGUUAGGUGAUUAACUAUGUGACUUGAAUCGGUGAUGCCUGUUAGCUCUAACUUGUGAUUCCCGCAGAAACUCCAGCUAUUACAAGAACAUAAAUUCUAAGUGUUGGCCUGAUCAGAGUAAAAAAAUACUGAAAGUAAACAUCAGAAAUGACCAUAGAAAAUAUUGGUAAAACAUUUCCUAAGAUUGCAAGAACAGAUAAUUUAAUAUUAUUGAUAUUAGAUCUAUUUUGUGAGCAUAACAACGUCACAACAAGUGAAAUAGCUCAUUGAACUCUUCUAAAAAACACGCACCAUACUUCUACAACGAAUAAUAAAAAUAUGAAUCGAUGAAAUUAUUGACAGAAAAUCCGCAACCACAAGCAAAUAGAUUAGUGAGAGGAAAUAAAAUUGUCAAUUAUAUAUGAAAAAUGAAAAGAAAAAUUACAUAAAAAAAAGAGAGAAUGAAAGUGAGCGCUGGAUGCAGAGGUUUAUCGAUCGAUUCAUGGUUUGUGUUAACAAAAUUCAAGAAGAGAUCGAUAAACCGCUGCCUCCAGAGACUUCACCUCGAUCGAAUGAAUCUACAACAUAGAUCUGAGAAUAAACAGUGAUGCAGAUUGUGAAAUCGGAAUAUAUCGAAAUUCAAUGGAUGAAUAACAUAGCAUAAGAUAUAUACAUAGUAUUAUAUAGUAGUAAUUGAAAAAACAAAUACAAAAAAAUUGAUGAAGAGAGAAGAGAGAAGGAAUGAAAGGAAUCGUCGCCAUUGCUUUACCGCAAGGGUUUAUGUCUCUCGUUUUAUUUCUCUCUCUCACAUCCACCACUCACUUUUCAAGAGUAAUAACCAUUUCUGGAUUUUUAUGUUUGUUUUCAUUCUAGACUGAUAAAUUACUAUUCCACCCUUGCUUUCUUAGCACCAUACCCUUCCCUGCGCUAGACCAAUCAAUUAUUCAAUUUCAACCCUCUCUUUUAUCUCAGGAUUUAAUAGUAGAGAAAGAAU
rnacentral:lncRNA from 1 species